AUUGAACGCUGGCGGCAGGCCUAACACAUGCAAGUCGAACGAGUGGCGGACGGGUGAGUAAUGUCUGGGAAACUGCCCGAUGGAGGGGGAUAACUACUGGAAACGGUAGCUAAUACCGCAUACCAUCGGAUGUGCCCAGAUGGGCAUAUCUAGUAGGGGGGGUAACGGGUCACCUAGGCGACGAUCCCUAGCUGGUCUGAGAGGAUGACCAGACACAUAGGAAGUGAGACACGGUCCAGACUCCUACGGGAGGCAGCAGUGGGGAAUAUUGCACAAGGGGCGCAAGCCUGAUGCAGCUAUGCCGCGUGUAUGAAGAAGGCCUUCGGGUUGUAAAGUACUUUCAGCUGGGAGGCGUUACUCGCAGAAGAAGCACCGGCUAACUCCGUGCCAGCAGCCGCGGUAAUAC
rnacentral:rRNA from 1 species